GGAUUAGAUACCCUGGUAGUCCACGCCGUAAACGAUGUCAACUAGCCGUUGGAAAUUUUACAUUUUUAGUGGCGCAGCUAACGCGAUAAGUUGACCGCCUGGGGAGUACGGACGCAAGUUUAAAACUCAAAUGAAUUGACGGGGGCCCGCACAAGCGGUGGAGCAUGUGGUUUAAUUCGAUGCAACGCGAAGAACCUUACCAAUCCUUGACAUCCAGAGAAUUUGCUAGAGAUAGCUUAGUGCCUUCGGGAACUCUGAGACAGGUGCUGCAUGGCUGUCGUCAGCUCGUGCCG
rnacentral:rRNA from 1 species